rnacentral:rRNA from 1 species
AGAGUUUGAUCAUGGCUCAGAACGAACGCUGGCGGCGUGCCUAACACAUGCAAGUCGUACGAGAAACACGACCUUCGGGUUGUGGAGUAAAGUGGCGCACGGGUGAGUAACACGUGGGUAACCUGCCCCAUGGACCAGGAUAACUGGCCGAAAGGCCCGCUAAUACCGGAUAAGACCACAUGAGCCUCGGCUCAAGGGGUCAAAGUCGGCCUCUCGACGAAGCCGGCACCAAGGGAGGGCCCGCGGACCAUUAGCUUGUUGGUAGGUAACGGCCUACCAAGGCMAAGAUGGUUAGCUGGUCUGAGAGGAUGAUCAGCCACACUGGAACUGAGACACGGUCCAGACUCCUACGGGAGGCAGCAGUGGGGAAUAUUGCGCAAUGGGCGAAAGCCUGACGCAGCAACGCCGCGUGAGGGAGGAAAUCCUUCGGGAUAUAAACCUCACAAGCAAGGGAAGAGAGCUACGGGCUGAAUAAUCCCGUAGUGCGACGGUACCUUGCGUAAGCCACGGCUAACUACGUGCCAGCAGCCGCGGUAAUA